GUUAAAUAUGGGACAAAGAAAAAUGCUUCAAACAUGUAACACUCAUAGUAUAUUUGUAUAUAUAAUAGACAUAUUACUAUCCACAUGAUAUUUAUUAUUUAAUAUUUUAUAAUAAAUAUUUAAUUCGUGCAUCCUAAAAACUUAAUUUAUUUAUAUAUGUCCAUUGAAAAAAAUUCCUAACUGAACCGCUACAAGCCAUCAUAAGAAUUAAAACAAGACAGGUUGCCGUAUCCUUCAUAAUAGCCCUUUAUAGUUAUCUUAACGGAAGAAUUUCCAUUCAAAAUUGAAACCUUGGAUACUAAUAAGAAAAUCAUCUAAGAGGCGCACCUUCAUCGAUUUCAAAAUCAAAGACUCGUUCCUCGCCGAGGCGGAUAUCCUGUUGGCAGUCGCCGGAGACAGGAUAUCGGCCUCGGCGAGGAACCGGUCUUUGAUUUCGAAAUCGAUGCAGGUGCGCCUCUUAGAUGAUUCUCUUAUUAGUAUCCAGGGUUUCAAUUUUGAAUGGAAAUUCUUCCGUUAAGAUAACUAUAUAAAGGCUAUUAUGAAGGAUACGGGCAACCUGUGUAGUUUUAAUUCUUCUGAUGGCUUGUAACGGUUCAGUUAGGAAUUUUUUUCAACGGACAUAUAUAAAUAAAUUAAGUUUUUAGGAUGCA